GGGCGUUUGGUGUAAUGGCAACACACCAGCUUGGACCAAUGUGGAGUUCUGUGGUUCGAUUCCCAGAACGUCCA